CUCAUUACUGCCUUGCAGUUUGAUCUCAGACUGCUGUGCUAGCAAUCAGCGAGACUCCCUGGGCGUAGGACCCUCCGAGCCAGGUGUGGGAAAUAAUCUCCUGGUGCACCGUUUCCUAAGCCCGUCGGAAAAGCGCAGUAUUUGGGUGGGAGUGGCCCGAUUUUCCAGGUGCCCUCCUUUCCUUGACCAGGAAAGGGAACUCCCUGACCCCUUACGCUUCCCAAGUGAGGCAAUGCCUCGCCCUGCUUCGGCUGGCGCACGGUGCCCUGCACCCACUGUCUGGCACUCCCUAGUGAGAUGAACCCGGUACCUCAGAUGGAAAUGCAGAAAUCACCCAUCUUCUGCGUGGCUCAUGCUGGGAGCUGUAGACCAGAGCUGUUCCUAUUCAGCCAUCUUGGCUCCCGGAUCCAGUUUAACUUUUGCAGAGAGACAAGAUCUCUCUCCAUUGCCAACACUGGUCUCAAACUCCUGGCCUCAAGCAAUCAUCCAACCUCAGCCUUCUGAGUACCGGGAUUACAAGUGCGAGCCACUGUGCCCAGCUCCUGUUUCUACUUUCUUAAGAUUCCUCUUAGGACUCUAGAUGCACGGAGAGUGGCCAGAUUAAUACAGACUGGCAAAAGAAGAACUUGGCAAAGUGAUUUGAUCACACACUUCUCACCCUCACAUCUCCUGACAGUUCCCCUAAUCCCUGCCCCACUUCCCCGCCAUGGGCUUCCAUCAGGAAACUCCUUGAUAUCAUCUUCGAGAAGAAAACUGAGGCAUAGAACAUUUGGGAAUGAAUCUAAGACUACACAUCUAGAAUAGCAGAGGAAGGCAAUGUAUCGCAUCCUGUAUUACCUUCCCCUGACCUCAUAGCUUCCCAAAACAGGAACAAUCAUGGGCUUUGAAGUUACAGGAAUGCAGAUGUGAUUCCUAUGGAUGAGGGUAACCUAGAGGCUAGAAGAACAAUAGGACAGAAGAAGCCUGGGUCCCUGAACAACCUUGUGGAGCAUAGACACCUACGUGGCCUGGACUGCCAGCUCACAAUGGGCCUCUCUGUGAGAGAAGGAAACUUCCCUCUUGUUUAAGCAACUGUGCUUUUGAGAAUCUCUUGGUCUAUACCCUAAUGAAUAAGGCCAUCAUAAAUGGAUAUCAAAGUAAGGAAAUUUGUGUAAAUGAUUUAAUAAAACAUUACCUCAGGUAUGAAAUAAUUCUACCUUGUGCCUUGACAACAUCAGGUAUUAUUCAUGCCCUUUUCUCUCCCUGUAAUGUCUCUUAUCCACGGGUAGAAAUUAUAUUUUCCAUCUAAGGUUUGCUCAAAUAUUAUCUACUUAAGUAGCUCUUACCAAUUUUGCCUCUCCUCCUGAGCUGACCCUAUGCCUUCUAUGCUGUUCCAGGUAAUAUUAAUCUCUUCCUUUGUACUUCUUUCACAGAACAUACUUUUUUGUCUAACAUAAUAACUAUAGGCAUAAGUGUAUAGAUUCCACUAGGGGCUUCAGAACAGAAACUAUCAUCUUAUUAAUUUUUUUCUCCCUGAUAUCUAGGGAAAUAUGUUAUAUAUAAUAGGCCCUUAGUAAUCCCAUAAAUGUUUGUGAGAUAUUCACUGACUAUAAGCCAUACUCUGUAUUUAUUUAGCUAAAACAGACGUCUUUCAUAUUUAGUUAGCAGAAAAUGCUCACAUUUACUCCUUUCCUGUUUACCAAAUGAAAGGGUAAUUGUUUUUUCACAGAUUGCACUAGAAAAGUGUCUUCUCUCUCUUUUUCAAAUAGAUUGUCUUUAAAACAUAUGACAGGAAAAGUGACUAUUGUUAGGAUAAGAUAAUUACGAUUGUAACAGCUAGUUUAAAAGAAGUGUCAGUUGCUCCUGUUUUAUUUUUCACAGGAUAGAGCUGCGGCCUGUCUCAGUAUGAUGUUUUCAGGAUCUGGUAUAUAUUUUUAUUUUCCUACAUGAAUCUUUCAUCCUUUUACUGACAUUUAUUCAUUUUAUCUAAUUAUCCUAAAAGGAAAGCUCUGGCCAGGCAAAUUGGUUGUUGUCUGCCUCUGAAGAGACAUUCAUAUCGCGUCGCUUAGCUUUCAAGUUUUGUGAUCAGGAACCCUCAGGCCCAUUUUUAAGGAGGUUUCAGGCUAGCUGAGCUUCACUGUCUCCCAAAAUGUACAAAAUGAGAUUACAUGAGGGACAAGAUCAAUUUACUGGAAGGUACUUAAGCAGUAAAUCUGGAGCUUUUUGUCCAGUCACUAUUGCUUUCAAGCUUUGUAGCAGAAAAUUAAGCCACAAGAGCUUUGACAAAUUAGAUAUUACUACCUCUAAUUGUGUAUGUUUAAGCUUAUCACACUGAAUUGCAGCAUUGUAACUGACUAUUAUGCCAACAAGGCCUUCGUUUAAUCAGCGCAGUGCCAUUUAAUCGCAAUUAAUCACUCAACUAAAAUGUCAUAUUAAGGUCACAGAAACUUGAAGGGCUAAAAGAAAAGAGAACAUUAAAGUCAGCUGAUGGAGGAAAAGAGCAUGGUGUGCCAAGGGAAGUUCUGAGCACUCUUUUUCAUUAGAAGCUGGUAGAACAUUUAAUGAGAAUUCAGUCUUAACUUUCAGCUGAGAUCAGAACAACGUGCC
rnacentral:lncRNA from 1 species